AUGCAAGUCGAGCGAACUGAUUAGAAGCUUGCUUCUAUGACGUUAGCGGCGGACGGGUGAGUAACACGUGGGCAACCUGCCUGUAAGACUGGGAUAACUUCGGGAAACCGAAGCUAAUACCGGAUAGGAUCUUCUCCUUCAUGGGAGAUGAUUGAAAGAUGGUUUCGGCUAUCACUUACAGAUGGGCCCGCGGUGCAUUAGCUAGUUGGUGAGGUAACGGCUCACCAAGGCAACGAUGCAUAGCCGACCUGAGAGGGUGAUCGGCCACACUGGGACUGAGACACGGCCCAGACUCCUACGGGAGGCAGCAGUAGGGAAUCUUCCGCAAUGGACGAAAGUCUGACGGAGCAACGCCGCGUGAGUGAUGAAGGCUUUCGGGUCGUAAAACUCUGUUGUUAGGGAAGAACAAGUACAAGAGUAACUGCUUGUACCUUGACGGUACCUAACCAGAAAGCCACGGCUAACUACGUGCCAGCAGCCGCGGUAAUACGUAGGUGGCAAGCGUUAUCCGGAAUUAUUGGGCGUAAAGCGCGCGCAGGCGGUUUCUUAAGUCUGAUGUGAAAGCCCACGGCUCAACCGUGGAGGGUCAUUGGAAACUGGGGAACUUGAGUGCAGAAGAGAAAAGCGGAAUUCCACGUGUAGCGGUGAAAUGCGUAGAGAUGUGGAGGAACACCAGUGGCGAAGGCGGCUUUUUGGUCUGUAACUGACGCUGAGGCGCGAAAGCGUGGGGAGCAAACAGGAUUAGAUACCUGGUAGUACACGCCGUAAACGAUGAGUGCUAAGUGUUAGAGGGUUUCCGCCCUUUAGUGCUGCAGCUAACGCAUUAAGCACUCCGCCUGGGGAGUACGGUCGCAAGACUGAAACUCAAAGGAAUUGACGGGGGCCCGCACAAGCGGUGGGAGCAUGUUGGUUUAAUUGGAAGCCAACGCGAAGAACCUUACCAGGUCUUGACAUCCUCUGACAACUCUAGAGAUAGAGCGUUCCCCUUCGGGGGACAGAGUGACAGGUGGUGCAUGGUUGUCGUCAGCUCGUGUCGUGAGAUGUUGGGUUAAGUCCCGCAACGAGCGCAACCCUUGAUCUUAGUUGCCAGCAUUUAGUUGGGCACUCUAAGGUGACUGCCGGUGACAAACCGGAGGAAGGUGGGGAUGACGUCAAAUCAUCAUGCCCCUUAUGACCUGGGCUACACACGUGCUACAAUGGAUGGUACAAAGGGCUGCAAGACCGCGAGGUCAAGCCAAUCCCAUAAAACCAUUCUCAGUUCGGAUUGUAGGCUGCAACUCGCCUACAUGAAGCUGGAAUCGCUAGUAAUCGCGGAUCAGCAUGCCGCGGUGAAUACGUUCCCGGGCCUUGUACACACCGCCCGUCACACCACGAGAGUUUGUAACACCCGAAGUCGGUGGAGUAACCGUAAGGAGCUAGCCGCCUAAGGUG
rnacentral:rRNA from 1 species